AAAAUCUCUAUAUAUACCAUAUAUCUAUACGUUUUUAUAACGGUUAAAACCGCACCGCAGUUAAACCGAUUAUCCCGCACCGCUCAAACCGCGGUUACCAUUCAGAACCUGUGUCUCGUUUUAAGAUUAUCGAAUGGGGUUUCUGAUAUUUAUACGCCUUCAUGUGAUAUGACUAAGGCGUUAUACUAUGCUUUAGCAUAUUUACAGUUUAAUGAUAGUAAAAUUAGACUACUAUUUCCUUGAAAGAUAAAUCAUACUAGUUUUUAAUGAUAACAGUUUUAUUGAUUCAAUGAAUGAAUUGAAUAGUAUAGUUGCACACCUUUCUUGACCAUUGUAUUGUAUCUCCAAAGUAUCAAUACAAAUCUUUUACACGAAUCUCAAUGUUCCUUUUCCUGGAGAAACAAACUAAUACGGGCACGAGAAUUAGAAGAGUGUCAGAACUCAUGGAUGCAAUUCCGUGUGACCAUGACACACCUGGCAUUGCACUACGAUGGCUCGGUGGUCUA
rnacentral:lncRNA from 1 species